GUUUAGACUCAGAGACCUACUUGAGCGGGGGGGAAUCACCAGACAAGAAUCAUUUCUGUGAUUAGAAACCUAAGCCCUUGGAGAAAUGCAAAACUGCCAGAAGAGACUCAUCGAUUCACAACAGCACUCCAAACAACUGGAAGUGAUGCAGCAACACUGUCGAGAGAGACGUUUCCCAGGUAGAAGCAGGCAGGGCAUAUUCACAGCCUGGGUCACCAGUAAAGUAUGAUUUAGAGCAGCCACAAGCAAAACGUCAGAG